rnacentral:rRNA from 1 species
AAAGGAAUAGACGGGGGCCCGCACAAGCGGUGGAGCAUGUGGUUUAAUUCGACGCAACGCGAAGAACCUUACCAAGGCUUGACAUGGAAUUGAAGGCUGUAGAGAUACGGCUGCUUUUCGGAGCAAUUCACACAGGUGGUGCAUGGUUGUCGUCAGCUCGUGUCGUGAGAUGUUGGGUUAAGUCCCGCAACGAGCGCAACCCUUAUGUUCAGUUGCCAGCGAGUAAAGUUGGGCACACUGGAGAGACUGCCGUGGAGAACACGGAGGAAGGUGGGGAUGACGUCAAAUCAUCAUGCCCCUUAUGUCUUGGGCUACACACGUGCUACAAUGGCGCAUACAGCGUGAAGCGAGGCAGCGAUGCGGAGCGAAACACGAAAAGGCGCCUCAGUUCGGAUUGCAGGCUGCAACCCGCCUGCAUGAAGUUGGAAUCGCUAGUAAUCGCGGAUCAGCAUGCCGCGGUGAAUACGUUCCCGGGCCUUGUACACACCGCCCGU